GGUGGAGCGAUUUGUCUGGUUAAUUCCGAUAACGAACGAGACUCUGGCCUAUUAAAUAGACGGUAUAUCGAAAAGUAUAUCGCGCUUCUUAGAGGGACAAGCGGCGUCUAGCCGCAUGAAAUAGAGCAAUAACAGGUCUGUGAUGCCCUUAGAUGUCCGGGGCUGCACGCGCGCUACACUGAAAGAAUCAGAGUGCGCUUACACCUAGUCCGGAAGGACCGGGUAACCCAAGUAAAUUCUUUCGUGCUUGGGAUAGGGAAUUGCAAUUAUUUCCCUUAAACGAGGAAUUCCCAGUAAAUGCGGGUCAUAAGCUCGCGUUGAAUACGUCCCUGCCCUUUGUAC
rnacentral:rRNA from 1 species